AGGAUGAACGCUGGCGGCGUGCUUAACACAUGCAAGUCGAGCGGAAAGGCCCUUCGGGGUACUCGAGCGGCGAACGGGUGAGUAACACGUGAGUAACCUGCCCUUGGCUCUGGGAUAGCUCCGGGAAACCGGAAUUAAUACCGGAUAUGACUUCGGCCGACAUCGGCUGCGGUGGAAAGAUUUAUCGGCCAGGGAUGGGCUCGCGGCCUAUCAGCUAGUUGGUGGGGUAACGGCCUACCAAGGCGACGACGGGUAGCCGGCCUGAGAGGGCGACCGGCCACACUGGGACUGAGACACGGCCCAGACUCCUACGGGAGGCAGCAGUGGGGAAUAUUGCGCAAUGGGCGAAAGCCUGACGCAGCGACGCCGCGUGGGGGAUGAAGGCCUUCGGGUUGUAAACCCCUUUCGGCAGGGACGAAGCGAAAGUGACGGUACCUGCAGAAGAAGCGCCGGCUAACUACGCGCCAGCAGCCGC
rnacentral:rRNA from 1 species